GCCCCCGCGACCCGAUCCCGGAUAAGCGGUAGACGAUGGAUGGAUGGAUGGAUGGAGAUUUUAUGGACACAUGCAGACACAGAGCGGGGUCCCAGUGGAGCUGCUUCUUACAACAGGGGGGACUCCCAAACCUAAUAUCCACAACACAGAGCCUCCUGCAGUAAAGCCAAUCAGAGGGAUUUCUCCGACCAACGAUCCGCUGACAAGUC